GAUGAACGCUGGCGGCGUGCCUAAUACAUGCAAGUCGAGCGAACGGACGAGAAGCUUGCUUUUCUGAUGUUAGCGGCGGACGGGUGAGUAACACGUGGAUAACCUACCUAUAAGACUGGGAUAACUUCGGGAAACCGGAGCUAAUACCGGAUAAUAUUUUGAACCGCAUGGUUCAAUAGUGAAAGACGGUCUUGCUGUCACUUAUAGAUGGAUCCGCGCUGCAUUAGCUAGUUGGUAAGGUAACGGCUUACCAAGGCAACGAUGCAUAGCCGACCUGAGAGGGUGAUCGGCCACACUGGAACUGAGACACGGUCCAGACUCCUACGGGAGGCAGCAGUAGGGAAUCUUCCGCAAAGGGCGAAAGCCUGACGGAGCAACGCCGCGUGAGUGAUGAAGGUCUUCGGAUCGUAAAACUCUGUUAUUAGGGAAGAACAUAUGUGUAAGUAACUGUGCACAUCUUGACGGUACCUAAUCAGAAAGCCACGGCUAACUACGUG
rnacentral:rRNA from 1 species